rnacentral:rRNA from 1 species
AACGAACGCUGGCGGCAUGCCUAACACAUGCAAGUCGAACGCUCUGGCUUCGGCCAGGGAGUGGCGCACGGGUGAGUAGCGCGUGGGAACCUGCCCUAAAGUGGGGGAUAACCGAGGGAAACUUCGGCUAAUACCGCAUACGCCGGUUGUCUUGAGAGAGAUGGCCGGGAAAGAUUUAUCGCUUUAGGAGGGGCCCGCGUCGGAUUAGCUAGUUGGUGUGGUAACGGCGCACCAAGGCGACGAUCAGUAGCUGGUCUGAGAGGAUGAUCAGCCACAUUGGGACUGAGACACGGCCCAAACUCCUACGGGAGGCAGCAGUGGGGAAUAUUGGACAAUGGGCGCAAGCCUGAUCCAGCCAUGCCGCGUGAGUGAUGAAGGCCCUAGGGUUGUAAAGCUCUUUUGUGCGGGAAGAUAAUGACGGUACCGCAAGAAUAAGCCCCGGNUAAC